rnacentral:rRNA from 1 species
UACGGAGGGUGCAAACGUUGCUCGGAAUCAUUGGGCGUAAAGCGCACGUAGGCGGUUCGGUAAGUCGGAUGUGAAAUCCCUCGGCUUAACCGAGGAAGUGCAUCCGAAACUGCCGAGCUUGAGUACGGAAGAGGGUCUCGGAAUUCCCGGUGUAGAGGUGAAAUUCGUAGAUAUCGGGAGGAACACCAGUGGCGAAGGCGGAGACCUGGGCCGAUACUGACGCUGAGACGCGAAAGCUAGGGGAGCGAACGGG